rnacentral:tRNA from 1 species
UUACUGGUAGGUUAUUUAAACUGACAAAUUGUGGUUUUGUUGAUUACGCUUUUUUUUCUUUGUAUC